UACGUAGGUGGCAAGCGUUGUCCGGAUUUAUUGGGUUUAAAGGGUGCGUAGGCGGUCUAUUAAGUCAGUGCUGAAAUAUCCCGGCUUAACCGGGAGGGUGGCAUUGAUACUGAUGGACUUGAGUAAAGUUGAGGUUGGCGGAAUUGACGGUGUAGCGGUGAAAUGCUUAGAUAUCGUCAAGAACACCUAUUGCGAAGGCAGCUAACUAGCUAAACUGACGCUGAGGCACGAAAGUGUGGGGAUCAAACAGG
rnacentral:rRNA from 1 species